UACGGAGGGGGCUAGCGUUGUUCGGAAUUACUGGGCGUAAAGCGCACGUAGGCGGACUAUUAAGUCAGGGGUGAAAUCCCUCGGCUCAACCGAGGAACUGCGUCCGAUACUGGCAGGCUGGAAUCCGGGAGAGGGAUGUGGAAUUCCAGGUGUAGCGGUGAAAUGCGUAGAUAUCUGGAGGAACACCGGUGGCGAAGGCGGCGAUCCUGGACCGGUAUUGACGCUGAGGCGCGAAAGCUAGGGGGAGCAAA
rnacentral:rRNA from 1 species